CCUACGGGCGGCAGCAGUGAGGAAUAUUGGUCAAUGGACGAGAGUCUGAACCAGCCAAGUAGCGUGAAGGAUGACGGCCCUAUGGGUUGUAAACUUCUUUUAUAUGGGAAUAAAAUGUUCCACGUGUGGGAUUUUGUAUGUACCAUAUGAAUAAGGAUCGGCUAACUCCGUGCCAGCAGCCGCGGUAAUACGGAGGAUCCGAGCGUUAUCCGGAUUUAUUGGGUUUAAAGGGAGCGUAGGUGGAUUGGUAAGUCAGUUGUGAAAGUUUGCGGCUCAACCCUAAAAUUGCAGUUGAAACUGGCAGUCUUGAGUACAGGAGAGGUGGGCGGAAUUCGUGGUGUAGCGGUGAAAUGCUUAGAUAUCACGAAGAACUCCGAUUGCGAAGGCAGUUCACUGGACUGCAACUGACACUGAGGCUCGAAAGUGUGGGUAUCAAACAGGAUUAGAUACCCUGGUAGUC
rnacentral:rRNA from 1 species